rnacentral:rRNA from 1 species
GUCGAGAAUAAUUCACAAUGGACGAAAGUCUGAUGGUGCAACGCCGCGUGGAGGAUGAAGGUCUUCGGAUUGUAAACUCCUGUCAUCGGGGAGUAAGACCUGGCGGUAAAUAGCCGACAGGGUUGAUAGUACCCGAAGAGGAAGGGACGGCUAACUUCGUGCCAGCAGCCGCGGUAAUACGAAGGUCCCAAGCGUUGUUCGGAAUCACUGGGCGUAAAGGGAGCGUAGGCGGCGUGGUAAGUCAGAGGUGAAAUCCCGGGGCUCAACCCCGGAACGGCAUCCGAUACUGCCAUGCUUGAGGGUUGGAGAGGUAGCUGGAAUUCUCGGUGUAGCAGUGAAAUGCGUGGAUAUCGAGAGGAACACUCGUGGCGAAGGCGAGCUACUGGACAACAUCUGACGCUGAGGCUCGAAGGCCAGGGGAGCAAAAGGGAUUAGAAACCCGUGUAGUCC